GUGAGUUAUUGUGCCCUCAGGCAGCUGGUAAACUGACAUCGCUUCACAUACCAGAGGAGAGACAGUUUGUCCUUCUGUUAGCAAACACAUACCAGGGUGGGUGGAUACCAGGAACAGCAGGUGGAAAGCUGCACAGCGCCCCCUGUGGAGAGCUCAGGUUCUACAUCUGCUCCACCCAAGACAGCUCCUCUUCUGAAGUUGUCCCCAGCAACAGGAAACCAGGAAUCAUGCACGGUCUGAGUCUGUUUGAUGUUUUGUGGGGCAACAGCUACUUGCUGGCGGAGGAGAUUCAGCACUUGUCCUCCUUCCUCAAUGAGCUCUGGUCCGGUCAGCUGACGCAACGCAAAUCGUUCCUCAAGACCGACAGACUAAAUGCAGCCAAUGUAACAUUAUCAUGUAACGAACAUGGAUUAUUUCAACCUUUAGCUGAUAAAAAAAUAUUACUGCAACGUUGCAGAGGGAGUUUACCUGAGUUUCCAGGUUGUUGUGUGAUACUGUCUCCUGGACUCGCUCGUUAGUUAGAGAAGUGGUUCUCAAAGAGGGUCCUUGAGGGGGUCCCCAGCAAAAAAUCCAUCCAUAAGUAACACAGACAGAACGUGUGACUAUAUUGUUAAUGGAUUUCAUACACUUUCUGAAAUAAAUCAUCUAAAAGUCAGAAUUCUUGACGAAUCAAUGAGAAUCAAUGACUUGAUGUUUGCACUGCUGUGAAUGUGAUAUUAAUUCCCAGUCUGAGUUGUGGUGUGACUGGGCGGUGAUGUAAGCGUCUUGUUUGUUACUAUAGACCCUGAUGUGUAGUUUACAGGUAGCAGAUGAUGACACAAGAUCACUGAUGCUGUACACACUCAAACACUACAGAAGCAGAAACCAGGUGAGACAGACAGGCUGUGUUUACAAAGAGCAGUUUUGGUCUCUAAUAAGUAGAAUAACAUCUAAUUAAACUUAAAGUACCCAAAAUAAAAGUGCUCUACACACAAUGUCUGUACAGUACCCAGGAGCAGAUUGGAGCCAUAUGGCAGAAAUUAAAAUAUUUUAUCUGCAACAAAAAAAUGGAAUG